UUCGGGCGCGGACGCCGGCGGCCCGGCGCUUCUGGGCGGUGGGCGUCGUCGCGUGCUUCCUGGAGCUCGCGCUCAAGCUGUACAUCAUCCCGGUGGUGGUGAGUUUUUGUGCUGUCUUGGUGACUUGAUUGUUGAUUCUCAAGUUUGGGUUUAAGUUCAGGCGCUAAUGAACUUGCACUCGUUGUUUCUGUCAGUGCCCCGCGGCUGUGGAGGAUGGUGUUUAGGUGCGCUGCACCUGCCGAAGAUGGAUCAUUUUGGAGAUGCGCCGUUUUGUUUCAUUAGCUAAGUUAGAUGUUUGGAAGGGCCUGCCAUGUGGGGUUUUAGACUCAUCUGCUAGUAUGAAUGUAUGUAUGCUACUUCGUACUUGGAUCCUUAAUUACCUUUUUGUUGUUGUCUUGUUGCAUCGGGAUGCGGCCCUUUAGGCUGUAUAGAAUACGUAUGAAGUUAGAAGGGAUUCGAACUUAUAUUUAGCUCAAGAGAAGUCUUGAAGGUUGGAAACU
rnacentral:lncRNA from 1 species